UACGUAGGGUGCAAGCGUUGUCCGGAAUUAUUGGCGUAAAGAGCUCGUAGGCGGUCUGUCGCGUCUGCUGUGAAAACUCGGGGCUUAACCCCGGGCCUGCAGUGGGUACGGGCAGACUAGAGUGCGGUAGGGGAGACUGGAAUUCCUGGUGUAGCGGUGAAAUGCGCAGAUAUCAGGAGGAACACCGGUGGCGAAGGCGGGUCUCUGGGCCGAUACUGACACUGAGGAGCGAAAGCGUGGGAGC
rnacentral:rRNA from 1 species